UUGUUUUCUCUACACGAACAGUGAAAUGGAGACUCACAAGGCUUGGACGCGCCUUGACAUCAUAGUAAUGAAGUCCAAUCGACGGGUGACCAAUGGAAAUGGCUAGUGAGUCAUCUGGCCUUUGUCUCUGUUGCCAUGGAAACCAUCUGUGACCUUCCACACACGCUCACCAGGGCGGACCCGCUGCACAAAAUUGGCCGGGAACAAUCCCACCUUGUCUCUGCUUUUCCCCUGAAACCAGUCGUAGGCUUCCUCCACUGCAGUCCUCGGCGGAGCAUACGCUCUUUGAGGUUUUUUUCUGUUGACUUGGCCCGUUGCCUACAUUUGCAUAGCAUUUAUAUCAUAGUAACAUAAUGGAAUUUAAAUUAGGCAACACAAUAAGCUGAAAAAUACAAAUAAAAACAAUGUUUGUAUUCCCUAAUUAGCAAUGCCAGUUCUAGAGCAAAAAGCAUCUGCAGUUGUGGAGCCCUAAUCCCCCCCCCCAUCCUCUUCAGAGACUCUGGCAGGCACAUGAGUGUGCAGAACCCCUGGGUGCUUAGUAAGCUGUUUCACUCGUGUCCAGAUGUUGGUUCAUCCACAUUUAGCAGAGGCAUGUUUACAUUAGGAGGGGGUUUAAAUGUGUUUACUGUAAGUGAAUGGCUUUGCAGUGAUUAUCACUUUCAAUAAUAUAUGAUACAACAUCUUUUUUGUAUAGUUGUACUUUUUAAAUCUGCAAUAAAAUGUAUUUGAUUGAAAUACUGUACUACAUUUUCCUGUUGUCUGAUGUAAAGAACGUACUGUCCUUCGCAGGUGAAGACCUCCAGCUGCGUCAUUAAACACCGACGGCAAUCCUCCUCUUCUCCUCUAAAUAAUGACUAGAUCUGCACACCCACGGUCCUUUAAGCACAUCAGUCAGCUCUUCAGUACUCUGAUCAGUUAUCUCUGAAUAGAGGAACUUCAACUGAUUGUUUGACCAGUUUAAUAUGUGUGUGUUACUGUAAUAUGUAUUUACAGGAAAUCUGGAGAUUUAUAACAUUCAAGUUCUAUUAAGUUCUUUGCGCAGCCUACCUUCCACCAGUCCUCGUUGGAGUCAUCUGUGACUUGAACUCUGUCGCCAGGCCUGGAGGAACAAACGCGAUCAAAAAAAGGUUCAAAGAGAAUUGUUAUAUGUAUAUAUAAAUAAAAGCAUGUAUCACUGCAAAAUA